ensembl:lncRNA
AUCCUUGGCUGAAGCUGUGGUGUUAACAGCAACAGCAAGGCCUCACCUGUGCUUCUGAGGAUCUGAAUACAGCUCAAAAUAUUGGCAAGAGGUGUACUGAUAAGUCUAGCCACGUGGACUGGUAUUCUUUCUGCAUAGCCUCUGACAAACUGGCUAGAGCUGAUGUCACCCAGUCUUUGAUGCCCAGGUGGCAUAUAAAGCCCCCCUAUCCCCAUGACACCCACAGAGAAGCUCUGUGAUGCUGCAGCACAUUGGCCUUCUUCACAUACGGCACAAAAUGCAUCUUGCACUCAUGUGGCCUAACAGACUCUGGCAGUUACUACGCUGAAAUUUGAAAACAGCUUUUUGUGUUAGGAUCGUGGUUUUGAAGCUGAUGUGCCGCCCUUCAGCCAAAUCCUGACAUCAGCCUCCAUUCAAUUCCUCUCUGGAAGCAGCUGUCGGCAGCUCAGUGACUGCACCCACCCCUGCCAAGAGCAGAAGCAGCACACAGCGUGUCUCAAGCUCACAUCUCCCAUUCAGAGAUGAACUGAUUGUUUUUGUCAGUCUGUCGGACUCCCCAUGUUCAGGCACGGCCUUGGAAUAAUGUUUUUUCCCAGAAAUUAACCAUUGUCAUUUCAUGGCUGUUGACAUCUUCAGCUCUGGAGAUCUCGGUACCUGCCCCUGAAUGUGAUGGCGUGAUGGCCCAGGGACAAAAACACAUCAGUGCUCGGAAAACAAGGAGCUGUCCUGCCUGCCAGAAUGUCAGCCACAUUUCUAAAAGCCUCUCAAAUGUGUAUUGUGACUGCUGCAUGUCUUCGGUGCUGCCAGCAUCUGGUUUUGGAACAGAGGAGCAGAGCCAAGAGGCUCAGAAGACAAUGAAAGGAAACUGGUCUGCAACCUUGAAUGAACUUAGUUUCAAAGAAGCAUUCAUACACCCACAGAGGAUUGGUCCAGCUGAAUCAGAUUGGCUGGUUUCAUCAGUGAACUAACAGGGAGAGCAAGGAGUAAGAAGAAGAAGGCUGGUAAUGGCUGAGAAAAGGAAGGGUAUGCAUUAAA